UACGUAGGGGGCGAGCGUUGUCCGAAGUUACUGGGCGUAAAGAGCGCGUAGGCGGACCCUUAAGUGAGGGGUGAAAGGUUCGGGCUCAACCCGGAGAGUGCCUUUCAUACUGGGGGUCUUGAGUGCGGGAGAGGUAAGUGGAAUUCCUAGUGUAGCGGUGAAAUGCGUAGAGAUUAGGAAGAACACCAGUGGCGAAGGCGACUUACUGGACUGUAACUGACGCUGAGGCAUGAAAGCGUGGGGAGCAAACAGG
rnacentral:rRNA from 1 species